rnacentral:rRNA from 1 species
UACGAAGGGGACUAGCGUUGUUCGGAAUUACUGGGCGUAAAGCGCACGUAGGCGGAUUUGUAAGUCAGGGGUGAAAUCCCGGGGCUCAACCUCGGAACUGCCUUUGAUACUGCAAAUCUCGAGUCCGAUAGAGGUGGGUGGAAUUCCUAGUGUAGAGGUGAAAUUCGUAGAUAUUAGGAAGAACACCAGUGGCGAAGGCGGCUCUCUGGACCUCUGCUGACGCUGAGGCGCGAAAGCGUGGGGAGCGAUCCGG